rnacentral:lncRNA from 1 species
AACUUUAGUGAAAAGGCGAUUAUCCGGGUUUGAUGUGACAAACCCUACGAGAAGUGUUCCUUGUUCGACAACCAAGAUCUCCGUGGCACGUGGGUGGGUGUGAGGUGGGUUCUGUCCGUUAACCGCAUAAUCAAUACGGACAAGGGAGAUUCCAAGAGUAUUUAACCCGAGAAGGUUGUUAACAUUGACGGCUGUCACGGUCGACCCAACUGGACUAGUUACGGGUCUUGCAUUUUGAAGCCCUGAGAAAAAGAAGUCAUCUGCUGUGACGAGUUUCGGGUCCUUGCAGAACUUUCCAUUAACAAAAACUGAAUAUAGUAACCAAGAAGAAAAAGUGUUAUUAAGAUAUGAGAAAAUUUAUCAAAAAAUAUGAGUAAAAGUGAUUUGCAAUCAUCAUGUACAUACCACCAUUUGCUGAGGUGUUGGCGCUGACACAAAAGUCUUGAAGUUGGCUUGGAUCAGAUGCAAUAGCUAAUGGAAGUGUCAAAGCCAAGAGAGAGAGCACUGCAAGAAAUGAGAGACUCUUCAUUGCCAUAAAAGAGAGAGGAAUAAGAUUUUAGUGAAGAGAUAAGAAACUUAAGUGACAUAGACUUCAAUUUAUAGAUGAGUUUACGUGUUGAACUAAUCCAAGAAAUUAAUUAAUGAACUUGAUAUUUGAAAUGGUUAAAGUAUUUAAAUUUGUUUUCUUCAACACAUUAUGUUUAAUUGAAAAUUCAAGUUAAUAAAAUAUAUAUAUAUAUAUUUCCAACGAAACAUGAUGCACUUGAAGUUUUAUAUACAUAGUUCAGUAAAUUAUACGUUUAUUGAAUGAUUACUCGAAGGGAAGGUCAAUGUGAACGUGUUGGGGUGUGUUAAAAUGUUAGCAUCUGAUUGUUUCUUAAUUAUAUGAUAAGACACUAGGAAUAGUAUAGAGAUAAGAUAUAAUAACUAAUGUUUUCAGAGAAUAUUGUACUUUUUCACAUAAAUCUAAACCCCUAUUUCGGUUUUAAAAUCCAUCGUAGAGCACUAGCCAUAUGUAUAUGUGUGUCUCACCGAUGAAUUCUCCGCUUAUAUUCAUCAUUCUGAUUUCUUUUUGUUUUCUUUUGUUUUUUUGGGUUCCAGUGCAUCUUAUUAUCAAAAGAAACAUAACUAGCUAUAUUAUACACACUUUCGAGUAAAACUAAAAUGUUUGAUAAUAUAUACACGGUUCUACUUCUACAUAUUCUUGUUUGAAAAAUCGUUAAUGCGGAAAAUGGAAGAAUUUAAACUAGUGGCCAGUGGAACCAAAAUAUAUCAUAUUAUCCACAACCCACACCUUGGCAAAAAUGACAGUCAUACUAUUUUUUUUUUAUAGUAUUUUAUUAUUAUAAAACAUACUAGAGGUUAUCUAACGCUACGCGCCAAUUUUUUUAGCAGCAAAAUUUCACUGUGUUUAUAAAUAAAAAUUAACCUUUAUUAGUAUUUUAACAACAUAAAAUCUUAUUAUUUGACUUUUGAAAUAUAGUAUUAGCCAAAAUAUAUAUGUCAAUGAUAUUUUACAUCUAUAUUGGUAUAUGUUGAUAUGAAUUUAUUUUCAAAUAGUUUGUGAGAAGCAAUCAUAUAUACGAAAUGCCCAAAUAGAAUACCAUAAUUGCUAAAUAAUAGCUACUAUAGGCGACUAAUCUACGACUAUUUUCAUCAUUCUUCAAUUAGAGACUGAUUAGCGACUAUUGUAUAAUACUCACCGUUUGUUCGCCAAAACAUCGCAAAUCAGUCGCAAAAUUUACCGACUAAUUCAUUAGUCGCCGAAUAAAGUCGCUAAUCCGUGUUUUCUUGUAGUAUAACGUCCUGAGAGAACUCCAUAGUUAAGCGUGCUUGUGCUAAAACAAUUUCAGGAUUUGUGACCUUCCGGGAAGUAAUUACAUGAAUUGUACAAAACACAUAGAAAGAUUAUGUGGUGAUUUGUAGGGUCGGUAAACAAGUCUUUAAAGCUUUUCGGACGUAACGAACCGACCGUCGGACAUGAGUGGGACCCACGGACCCGAGAGAGGAUGUGGGGGCUCACUAGAAGGGGCGGUCGGGGCGUUACAAGUGGUAUCAGAGCCGAACCCAGGCGAGUGUGGAGUCAAGAGGGCUUACACCGUCGGGGUGACGGGCUUGGUGUGCAACGAGGACAUUGCGAUCUAUUAACGGGGGUGAUUGUAACAUCCCGGUUUUAGAAAUAUGGUGGUGCAUGUGGAGAGGUUUAAAAGAAUUGAUUUAGCCACCUAUGUUACAAAAGUGCACUUAUCUUUUCGGUCAAACGUCCUGAGAGAACUCCAUAGUUAAGCGUGCUUGUGCUGGAGCAAUUUCAGGAUGAGUGACCUUCCAGGAAGUGAUUUUCGGAAUUAUGUGAGUGAGAACAAAACACAGGGAAAUAUCAUGUGCUGAUUUGUAGGUCGGUAAACAAGUCUUUAAAGCCUCCUGGACGUAACGGACCGACCGUCGGAUAGGAGUGGGACCCACAGACUCGAGAGAGGACGUGGAUGCUCACUAGAAAGGACGGUCGGGGUGUUACAAAGAUAUAUUGCAAAAAUUAUUAAAAGCAUUUAUCUGGGAAAGGUUAGAUCGUGCAUCGCGAGACUUUAUCUGGGGAAGUACAGUGGUGCAGCGGAAACAACAUUUGGUGGGCUGGGAAAAAGUUUGCAGGCCCAAAUCAGAGGGGGGCCUGGGUGUUAGGGCUGCGCAUAAUAUGAAUAAAGCCUUGAUCUCGAAACUGGGCUGGAGGGUGAUUAAUGAUCAGCAUAGUCUAUGGGCAACGAUUCUGCGAAAAAAAUAUAGAGUGGGAGACCUACAUGAUCAGUCGUGGACAGUGGCCAAGAGUCAUUGGUAAUCUACCUGGAGAAGUGCAAAUGUCGGGUUGAGAGAGGUGGUGUUGCCGGGUUUGCACUGGGUCUUGGGCGAUGGCAGGCAAAUUAAAUUUUGGACUGAUACAUGGUUGUUCUCUACUCCGUUGGUGGACUGUACGAGUAGUGAUCUCCCGGAGACGUUGGCGGGAAGCUGUGUUCGAAAUUUCUGGAGUAAUGGAGCGGGAUGGGACUUUAAUCAGAUUAUGGGAUAUUUGUCGGAGGAGAAAAAACUGCAGCUUCUAGCAGUGGUGCUUGAUAAUGUCACCGGCGCUAAAGACAGAGUCUCAUGGGGAGGGACUACGGAUGGGAGAUUUACGGUGAAGUCAGCCUAUGCUUUCCUUACUAAAGAUGAGACGCCGAGACCGGGUAUGAGUAAGUUUUUUGAGAAGAUAUGGAGGCUGGUAGCACCGGAAAGAGUAAGAGUUUUCCUAUGGCUAGUCACACAUCAAGUAAUCAUGACAAAUGUGGAAAGAGCCCGACGUCAUUUGGGAGACUCAUCGGUUUGUCAGAUUUGCAAAGGAGGGGAAGAAACUAUUCUUCACGUUUUACGGGACUGUCCUGCAAUGUCUGGUUUGUGGGCUCGUAUCAUCCCUCAACGUGUCUUGAAUACUUUUCUCGCAGACCCUAUUGGAAUGGUUACACACAAAUUUGAGUGCAACCGUGGAAAUAGGUGAGAGCCCGUGGCCUACUCUUUUUGCAAUGACAGUGUGGUGGGGAUGGAAGUGGAGAUGUGGGAAUGUGUUUGGAACAAAUGGUCGAUGUCGGGAUAGAGUGUGUUUUGUGAAGGAUAUCGCCAGAGAGGUUACGGCUGCGAACUUGAGUGUUAAUGCAGGAGGCCGGGAUGGUCCUACUCGGGCGGUAAGACAGAUUGCUUGGAUACCGCCAGAGGAGGGUUGGUUGAAGCUGAACACGGAUGGGGCCUCUCAUGGCAAUCCGGGUUUAGUAACUGCAGGUGGAGUGCUUCGGGAUUGUGAUGGGAAUUGGUGUGGCGGUUUUGCGGUAAACAUCGGGGCUUGUACGGCACCUCUAGCUGAGUUAUGGGGAGUCUAUUAUGGAUUGUUUAUAGCUUGGGAGAGAGGAGCUAGACGGGUUGAGCUGGAGGUGGACUCGGAGAUAGUCGUGGGAUUUCUUAAGACAGGGAUUAAUGAUUCACAUCCACUGUCGUUCCUAGUACGUUUGUGCUAUGGCUUUAUUACGAAGGACUGGAUUGUCCGUAUUUCACAUGUGUAUAGGGAGGCUAAUCGUCUUGCGGACGGAUUAGCUAACUAUGCGUUUUUCGUUACCGCUGGGCUUCCAUAUGUUGGGGUCUACGCCGGAUUUUGUUUGAGGAUUCUAUAGGACUCUCGCAUCCGCGAAAUGUCCGAGUGUAGUUCGUAUUUCUUUUUUAAUAAAAUGGGAGACUAGAUCUCCCUCUUGUUCAACAAAAAAAACAAAAACAAAUGGUGUUGAAAUAAUAAUAAUUUAUAAGCCAAAAAAAAAUCGAACGGUUUACGGUUUUAAACCCAACCGAACCGGAACCAAAAUAUUUUAAAUAAUUGUAACUGAGUAUGUUGUUGGAAGAAACCGAAACCAAAACAAAUCACUUAAUUACGGUUCGAUUCGAUUUUGAUAAGGUUUUUUCUGUCCACUCUUAAUUUAUUACUGCAGACAUAGGUUUAUAAUAUAUUUUUAUCGAUAAAAAAUUUAUAACAGAGAAAAUACAAUGUAUAGAAAAUGAAUAUAUAUAACAAUACUAAACACAAACUUGGUUAACAAAAAUAUUCAACAUUAAUUAAAAAAAUAAAGCAAAAGUCCACUCGUAGAACGGAAACUUACCUAGUCAGUUAUUAUCUGAGAAUAGGGCCACCAACUAUCAAUCGAUUUGGACUUUUCCAUGUUUGACUAACAAAUUAGCUUAAUUUUUUUAUCAAUUAUUUUAGAGAAAACAUAUAUAUUCCAUAAAUUCAUAGAUGCAGAUAUCAACACCCUAUGAUUUUAACUUAUCUAAUUUCUUAAUAAAUCCAAGAACAUAAUUCAAGACAAUCCUAAAAAAACCACAUAAACUAUCAAUUGAAUCUAAGACCACAUGCAACAUCACACUAAGUUUCUGCGUUAAUUUUCUUUUUAUCAUUUAAGAUUUUUGAACAAUGAAAAUAGCAAAAUACUAUCAAUUAAUUAAUUUUUACCGCGAAAUAAGAUUUUAUAUCAUUAUAUAUUAGUUACUUUAAUAUGUCCCUUUUUUUGGACAAAAUUUAUUUUAGUAUGCCAUUGUGUAGGAUUUCACCACUAAUUGUUAUGUAGUUCUCAAUAGUUUUUUCAGAAGAAAAAAAUGUAACAAUUCGUUCACAUAGUAUUUUUUAUAUGGUAACUGUAGAUUAAUGUUAAAAUUUACAUUUUAUUUUCAAAACAUUAAAAACUCUGUAAAAUGAUACUCCGUUUGUUUUAAAAUAUAAAAUAAUUUAAAAUUCUUCUCCCUUAAAGAACGGAAAAAGAAACGUAGUCGAUUAGAAGAUAACAAUGGAAAAAUGAAAAAUAGGUAUCAUUUUACAGACUAUGACAUCAUAGUACACCUUGUGCAAAUCACUACAAAUACAUUUUUUCUAACUUUACCUAACAAUGCGAUAUUUGGCCCUCUAUUUUUAUGAUAGAUGUAAUUUUCAUUAAUUUUUUAGUUUGACAUUCUAAAUUUACAAAAUGGUCAUUAAUAGUUUUCCCACAUUUAUAUUUUUAACCAAAAGUGUGACUUUACUACUUAAUUAUUUUCGGUUACAAAUGUCAAUAUUUAUUACAUAUUAAACUAUAAUUUUGAGAAGAACUAUUUUUUACUAUAAUUGGAACUCUCUUAAUUAGUUCUAUUAAACGCAUCAUGUAACUUUGACAAUGUUGGUGUUGUAAGAGAGGCCUUGGAAGCUAGGUAGAAGAAGGUGAAACACUAAACGUCUUUAUGAUUUUGUUAGAAGAUUGUUGAUGGGUAUUUAUUCUUUUGUUAUCGAUGAAACAUAUAUAGUUUAAAUGGGAGCCGACAUAUUGGAAACAACAGAAAUUGAUGAACACUUGCUGUAACCCUCGAAAUCUUUGUUGCACAUGUAUGAUUUUGAAUUCAAAAUGUUUUGUUAAAACUAAAAAUGAAAGAAAACUAUUCUUGUAAAAUGGAAAAAAUAUUUUUGAAGUAAACUAUCAUAUUAGAAAAAAAUAAAAAUAGAGUCAAAUUCUUACCAUCAUUAUGUCUCGAUUGAUUUAUCAACCCAUUAGAUUUCAUGCUUGGUAAGGUUUAUGCUCUCCAUAAAUUUUGGGAUUAGGACUAACAUAGAUCAAAAUUUUCUAUACAAAUUUGAUUUUAAGAUAUGGUGGAGGAGGAAUAGUGAACAAGCAGAAGAAGAAAAGAUAAAGUAAGCAGAAAACCUCCCAGGCACGAUUAUCGAAACAAUUUUUCUGAGCUCCCUUUCUGACGCCGGUGAAGCUUUGGCUCGCCGGCGUCGGGACACCUCUUCUUCCUUUAACUUGCAUCUCCUAUAUCUCUCGAUAAUCUUUGUUAGGCCAUUUUCUCAAUCAUCCCUAAACUCCAAUCUUUCAACGUGUUUCGAUGGCUCCGACCGAAUCUGUGACAGAGGACUAAGGCGGUCUCCGGCGACCUUCUCCCAGCCUUACCCUCUACUUAAUUCAAUUUCGAAAUCGAAGAAAGAAGUCCACACUUUUCCCAGCGGUGCUUUAUCUCACAAAUCGGAACCUUGCCUCAUCGAUCCGCCAAGAUACUCUAGCUCUCGACCUUUACCAGAAGGUUCCACGCACCAGCAGAUGUUGUUCAGCGUUCCAAUUCUUGGAAUGACUUCUCCGGUGAUGUUGGCGGCGGUGUACGGCAGAGCUCCUCAAACCAGAGGUAUGCUAGGGUUUCCUUUAUUGGACUGGACUCAAUUGGGCCCAAUUGACUAUAUCUCUCGGCCCAUUACCAAAAGUUGCAACCCAACUUCUCACUUUGCUUGGCCCAGGUCUGCUUUUCUUAAUUUUUUGCUUAGCCCAUCAUCUUUGACAUCUCGAUAUAGCGACUUGACUGGCCGAGGACUCCAACUAAGUCCUAUGUCGUUAUCAUUGCGAUGGGUGUGUAAUUAUAUUUCUCGAACCUUGGCCAUUUGCAAAUCUGCGAUUACUUCAUCGUUUCAUCAAAGCUUCAGGCUAAUCGAUUUGUUGUCUCUAGUUUCUAGAUAUGUUAACAGACUGAAGAAUAACGGCAUUAUGAUCUCCUCUCUAAGGAGAGGUGAUUACCGGAACUUCUUCAAUCUUUUUUCCAUGUUUCCUCUGAAUACCGAAUCCGAGCAAGUGUUAUCCUAUGAUUAUAAGGUUGAUAUUCAUGAAAUCAAAGGUUGGAGGAACUUUGGCAUUAUGAUCCCGUUCCCAUGGAACGGUGGUUACCAAAGCUUCCUCAACUUUUUACCUCCGAACCCGCCCGACGACAGAACCAGUUUAACUUCUCUCCUUGCUGAUGAGCAAAUCCAGCUCGCUAUACUCGUGCCGGCGAGAACCUCGGCUAUGGAACCCUAUUCAACGUCACUUAGUCUAUUGACCGUGACCAUCGUAUCGUCUAACGCUUCGUUCGUGGAUGAUUCUUCGACAAACCGUGUUAUCACUUGCACCAAUUUGCUUCAUUCCUUUGGCCUCCAAGCUCUCAUGGAUCCUUUGUCGAAUUACUUUUGCUAUCUAUGUGUAGCAUUUGCUUUAACCUUUGUUUGUUGUUGCUACUUUUUUUUAAGCCUUCUUAUCCUUGUACCUUUGGCUACUUUGAACCUUGUCUCGUUUGAAUGAAUGAAAACAAGUUGUUUGACAAAAAAAAAAAAGAUAUGGUGGAGGAGGAUAAGAAUAUGAUUAUUUAUAAAAUGAGAAAUGGUAAAAGUUACAUUUAAACAAAUAAUUUAAGUAAUUAAGUGAGUUACAAUUAUGGUAAAAAUAGUUUAUCUCAAAAUUCUAGUUUAAUAUAUAGUAAAUAUUGACAUAUGUAACUGAAAAAUAAUUAAUUAAUAGAGUUAUAAUUUUUUGUUAAAAAUAAUAUAUGUGGGAAAAUAAUUGGUGACCAAUUUUUUAAAUGAAGAAAUGUAGAAAGUCAAACUAAAAAUCAAUGAAGAGUUUAUAAGCAAUCAAGAGUACAUGUGUCACAAAAAUAGAAUGUCAAAUGUUGCAAUGUUAGGCAAAAUUAGAAAAAACAAUUUCAUAUUAUAUAAGACUAGGUGAGUAUCCGCUCUACGAGCGGGCUUUCUCUUUAUUUUUUUUUCUAAAUUAACAUUGAAUAUUUUUGUCGAUCAAUUUUUGUAUUUAUUAGAGUUAUAAAUAUUUAUUGUUUUAUACUUUGUAUUUCUUCUUUUAAAAUUUAUUUUAUAAACGUAAAUAUCUAGUAAUAAAUUAGGGGUGGGCAGAAACCUCAUCAAAAAAGUUGAACCUGUGAUUCAUUUUGGUUUCGGUUUUUUCCAAAAACUGUUCGGCUACAAAUAUAUAAAAUAAAUUGGUUUCGGUUCGGUUUAAUUUAAAACCAUAAAGCCAUUCGGCUUUUUUGCAAUAUUUUUUCCUUUUCUUGGUAAUAAAAGCUACAUGAAUAAAUUUUCUCAAUCUAAUGACAUUUGUUUUAGAAAGUUUAUAAUUCCUAUUAGAAAAUAAAAAAGAAAAAUCUUUGGAAGAUGAUAUAUUUUAUAAUAAUAUUAUGUUUAACAUUUAAUUGGUGAAGUAUGUUGGAAUGUACUCAUGGGUUCAUUGAUCUAAAUCAAAGAUGAUACAAUUUAAUAUAAAUAUUUAAUGUUUUUUAUUUUUUGAAAAAAUUAUGGAAUAAACAAAAAAUAACCGAAAUCGAACCAAACCAAAUUUUAUAAGGUUUUUAUGUGGUUUUCUAUUUUUUAUAAAACCAAUUAAUCGUAAGACAAAAAAACAAUUUGUUUUUUUAUAGAGAAAGCGAAAUUUUGUUUUCUUUUUUUAUUUAAUUUUGCUUCAAGCCAUUCAACUCAUAUUACCCGUAAGUUUAGAGGGGGUUAUUGGUUCAUUUGUUAUUCAAUCAUUGAUUUUACAAUCCUAAUUAAAAUUAUGUGUUAUUGGUUCUAUGGUUUAUAAAUAUUAGUUAAAAUCCUAUCUCAUUCGUUUAGUCAUUUGAUUUUGGAUUUCAAAAUCCAAAUUAAUUAUGUUUUAAAUGGAUUUGAAAGAAAAAAAUAGAAGGAUUCAAAUCCAUGGGUAAACACAUGUUAUUUCAAAACUCAUAUGUCUUGAUUUCAUAAUUACUAAAGAUUUUCAAAUCCUAUAGGGAUUUACAAAUCAAUAACUAAUAACACCCCCUAAGUUUCUGUCCAAUUCACUAUGUACUUUUAGCCUCUGUCUAGUUCACCACAUACUCUUCUUCAUCUUUAUAAUCACAUCUCUAUUAAAAAGUAAAAAUCUCAAUUCAAUUUUAUUACCUUAUCAUAACACCAAUAUCAAUUGAAUCUCAUACUCUUGAGCUACUUGCCAUCGAUGUAGUACCCUCAAUUCUAUAAGGCGAAACAUCUCUCCUUUUUUUUUGUUAAAGGAUUCUCAAGGCGAAACCUCUUAAUGAGCUAGAGACUUUAAUAUAUUUUGGAAUGAAUAUAGAUUGUUUUUUUGUUGAAGAAAACUCCAUCAGAAUAGAGAUAACUUGUCGUGAAUUUUUAAAAUGACUUUAGGAACAUGAAUCCAUUUCUGAAAAAUACAAAUGUUACUUUAUUUAGAAUUGAAUCAAGGUAAAAGCAAAGAAAGACAUCAUGUCAUGAUGAUACGAUGAACGGAAAUACAAGAUUGUUAUUCAUGCACAAGUACAUAAAGGGAAAGCAAUUCAAAUCACAAUAUUAUUAUUUCUUGAACUUGGUCUGUAGAUCCACAACAACCCUUGGGUCCAACUGGAACGCCUUUGCAAGAAUAGUUGGGUCUAUGGCUGGGUUAGCCCCAAACACGGUGUUGGCAAUAGUGAUGACACCAGGGUUUUGGCUGCUUAGAGCGGCGAAUGCAACUGCUGGUCCCUUGCCAAUGUUUGCUUGGAAAUGGAUUAGUCCCUCUGGAAACACAAAUACAUCACCCUCGUUGAGAACUUUAGUGAAGAGGCGAUUAUCCGGGUUUGAUGUGACAAACCCUACGAGAAGUGUUCCUUGUUCGACAACCAAGAUCUCCGUGGCACGUGGGUGGGUGUGAGGUGGGUUUUGUCCGUUAACCGCAUAGUCAAUACGAACAAGGGAGAUUCCAAGAGUGUUUAACCCGAGAAGGUUGUUAACAUUGACGGCUGUCACGGUCGACCCAACUGGACUAGUUACGGGUCUUGCAUUUUGAAGCCCUGAGAAAAAGAAGUCAUCUGCUGUGACGAGCUUCGGAUCCUUGCAGAACUUUCCAUUAACAAAAACUGAAAAUAAGAAGAAAGAGUGUGAUUAAGAUAUGAGAAAAUUUAUUAAAAAUUAUGAGUAAAAAUGAUUUGCAAUCAUCAUGUACAUACUUCCAUUUGCUGAGGUGUUGGCGCUGACACAAAAGUCUUGAAGUUGGCUUGGAUCAGAAGCAAUGGCCAAUGGAAGUGUUAAAGCCAAGAGAGAGAGCACUGCAAGAUAUGAGAGACUCUUCAUUGCCAUAAAAGAUAGAGGAAGGUGUUUUUGUUUCUUGAAUAAGAUUGUAUUGAAGAGAUAAGAAACUUAUGAGACAUAGACUUCACUUUAUAGAUGAGUUUACGUGUUGAACUAAUCCAAGAAAUUAAAUAAUGAACUUGAUAUUUGAAAUGGUUAAAAAAGUUUUUUUUUUUUCAACCCAUUAUGUUUAAUUGAAAACUCAAAUUAAAAUGUAUACAUAAAUUUCUCCAACGAAACAUGAUGCACUUGAAUUUUGAAAUGGCAAGUGUUAGCGAGAAUAUAUACAUAGUUCAGCAAAUUGUACGUUCAAAGAUUAGUUUGUUGAAUAAUUCUUCCCUCAAUUUGUCAUUUAUUUCACUGAGUCAAACAAAAGGUCAAUGCGAUCGUGUUGAACUAAUCCAAGAAAUUAUGAACCUGAUAUUUGAAAUGGUUAAAGUAUUUAAACUUUGUUUUCUUUAACACAUCAUGUUUAAUUGAAAUUCAAGAUAAUAAAAUAUAUAUAUAUAUAUUUCCAACGAAACAUGAUGUACUUGAAGUUUGCUAUACAUAGUUUAGUAAAUUAUACGUUUAUUAGUAUAUACAUAGUAAAAUUAAAUAUGAAUCAAUGUUUAGGAAAUUAACAUAUAUAGAUCGAAAAAAACUAAGGUGAUUUAAAAUAAAACAAAAAAAUAUCCUAAACAUCAAAAAUCAAAACAAAAUAAUUUUAUCGAAUAAUAAAACUGUGUAAUAAUAAUAUUUGAGAAUGUAUUUGGAAAUUAGAAUAGUAUUGGUAGAUUGAAGAGUUUUUCAUUAGAAAUAAAAAGGAUUUUGUUUUUUUAAAUAAAUAUAUUUUAAAAUUAGAAUAAUUUUUAUGAGUUCGUAAGUUUCACAUUUUAGAAAAAUAAACAUUAAGAAUACAAUCUAGAAUUAUAAUAUACGUUAAAUUAUAUAUGUAGAAACUGCAAAAUUUUACAUUGAAAUCAUAUGUUUGUGAAUAGGAAUGAGUCCAUAUAUGAGAUUUCUUGUCUAUAAAGCAAUUUUAGAUGCACCAAAACAUGGUAGAAAAAAAACUUAUGACAAACAUCUCCUCAGAUUUCUGUUUCUGAUGUUUACUUUAAUAAAAAGAUCAUGAAACUUAUAAAAAAAAAUUGAGUAUUUAAUGAUAUGAAGGAGAAAAUAGAAAUGAUCUAAGGAGAAAAGAGAGUAAAUGUCGGAACACGACGAGUGAAUCAUAGAAGAUAACGAGAAAAAUUGUAGUGAAAAUGUGAGAAAUUUUUUACUAUUUUGGAAAAGUAAUGCAUAUGGGUAAAAUAAAAUCUUUUAAAAUUCAAUUAAGUAUAUUUUUACUCAAAAUAAAAAUUUCAAAUUAAGUUCUGCGCAACGUGUGGAUAUACAAUCUACUCCCUCUGUUCCUCCAAGUUUGAUGUUUUACAUAGUUUAGCAGAUUAUACGUUAUAUGUUUAGUUUGUUGAAUAAUUCUUCCCUCAAUUUGUCAUUUAUUUCACUAAGUCAAACAAAGGGUCAAUGUGAACGUGUCGGGGUGUGUUAAAAUGUUAACGUUUUUGGUUUUGUUUGAUGAUAAGACACGACUAUAUAAACCAUAUAUAUAUAAAUGGAUGCUGGGAAUAGUAUAGAGAUAAUUAAGAUAUAAAUAAUGUUUUCAGAUAUAUCGGUUCUAGCUAGGCCUGGGUACAAGAUAAGUACUUGCUAUUUUUUAAGUAUUUGUGACUUGCUUUAGCCCGUACAAGUAAUUAAAAUUUCGGCUUGAUACUCGAUUUUUUUGAGCAAGUACUUGCUAUAAUAAGUACCCGUCCAAAAUCUUGUUACUUGCAAGUAACUUGACUCAGCUUGUUACUUGCAAGGUAAAUUGACUUGAUUUGGCUUGUUACUUGCAAGAUACUUGUUACUUGAAGUUUUGAACUAAAUGAUUUAAUUUAAAUAAAAAAACGAAUCUCAUACAUAUUAUAAUUCAUUCCGAAUUCUAAACAUCAUAAAAUCACCAAAUAUUAAAGUUCAAAACAUCAUGGAAUCACAACACAUUCAAAAUUCCAAAAGAUAAGCAUUUUAAAACAAUUUGGUUCAAACUGAAACCCUAAAAAAAGAGAAACUGUGAAAGACUUCUCCGGAUUGUUUUUUAUUGUUUAUUUGCUAUUGGAUUUUUAAAGUAGUUGGGUUAUUUAGGUUUAAUGGGCUUUAAGUUGUAACUAAUGUUAGCCCUUAUAGUUUUAGUUUAUAACAUUGGGCUUCAUAGUUUUAGUAAUUGGGUUUAAUAGUGGUUGGGCUUUAUAGUUUAAAUAUGUCUUAUAAUACAAAACGGGGCGAGUAACGGGGCAAGUAUCAAAACGGGAUGAGUAACGGGCCAAAUAUAAAAAAAAAUUAUGAUACUUGAUACUUGACCCUUACUUGCAAGUAAUAUAAUUUAUCUACUUGAUACUCGACUUGACUAUAGCGGGUAUUUGAAUUUUCAACGCGAGUACGAACCAAAUAGCGUGUACAAAACGGAUAGCGAGUACUUGUGCCCAAACCUAGUUCUAGCUAAAUCCAUCGUCGAGCACUAGCCAAAAAUAUGUGUCACCCAUGAAUUCUCCUCUUAUAGUCAUCAUUAUGAUUUCUUUCCAAUAUUUUUUUGGUUUACGUUUUAACAUGUAAAAACAUUACACACAUUCGAGUAAAACUAAAAUGUUUAACAAAUCGUUAAUGCGGAAAAUAGUAAGUGGGACAAAAAUAUAUCUUAUCAUCGGCAACAACCAUAUAUACGUCGUUUCCCUUUUAAUAUAAAACUUAUUUCCUACCUUAUAGACCCGAACCCGAUGAUAUCGGGGAUCCAAAGCAUAGUCGUCGGCCCAAUUAAUUAUUUGGGCCCACAAUAAUUUUUUCGUCCAAGUGAAAGAAGAUAAUCCACUAGAUUUGUUUUUUUUUUUUUCUCUCUCUUUUGAUACAAAUUGAACAAACAAGACGAAGAAGAAAAGACUAAACAAAAAUCAAAUCAAGUUAAUUAAAACCGAGUAAGAACUUCCUAGGCACGUGACUCGUCUUUAAUUAACUUCUUUAGCUAAAAGAUUAGAUUCUUCGUCCUUGACUCCUCAAGGCGAAACCUCUUUCUUUCUGUUUUUAUGGUAAAAGAUUCUCAAGGCGAAACCUAUCAAUAAGCUACAGACUUUAAUAUAUUAAUUUAGGAAUGAAUAUAGAUUUUUUUUUUUUUUUUGUUGAAGAAAACUCCAUCAGAAUAGAGAUAAUUUGCAGUCGUGAAUUUCCAAAAUGACAUUAGGAACAUGAAUCGAUUUCUAAAAACAUAAAAAUAUUAAUUUAUUUAGAGUUUGAUUAAAAGCAUUGACAAACAUUCAUGCCAUGUAAUGAUAAGCGGAUAAUACAAGAUCCUUAUUCAGCUGGAAGUACAUAAAAGAAAAAGCAACUAAAAGCACAAUAUUAUUAUUUUUUGAACUUGUUCUGUAGAUCCACGACAAUCCUAGGGUCCAACUGGAACGCCCUUGCAAGAAUACUUGGGUUAAUCGCUGGGUUAGACCCAAACACUGUGUUAGCAAUAGUGAUGACACCAGGGUUUUGGCUGCUUAGAGCGGCGAAUGCAACCGCUGGUUCCUUGCCAAUGUUUGCUUGGAAAUGGAUGAGUCCCUCUGGAAACACAAAUACAUCACCCUCGUUAAGAACUUUAGUGAAGAGGCGAUUAUCCGGGUUUGAUGUGACAAACCCUACGAGAAGUGUUCCUUGUUCGACAACCAAGAUCUCCGUGGCACGUGGGUGGGUGUGAGGUGGGUUCUGUCCGUUAACCGCAUAAUCAAUACGGACAAGGGAGAUUCCAAGAGUGUUUAACCCUAGAAGGUUGUUAACAUUGACGGCUGUCACGGUCGACCCAACUGGACUAGUUACCGGUCUUGCAUUUUGAAGCCCUGAGAAAAAGAAGUCAUCUGCUGUGACGAG